GACGAACGCUGGCAGCGUGCCUAACACAUGCAAGUCGAACGGAGUAAAGAGCUUCGGUUUUUUACUUAGUGGCGAACGGGUGAGUAACGCGUGAGAAACCUGCCUUUCAGUGGGGGACAACAGUUGGAAACGACUGAUAAUACCGCAUAAUGUUAUUUGGGGGCAUCCCCGAAUAACCAAAGCUUUAUGUGCUGAAAGAUGGUCUCGCGUCUGAUUAGCUUGUUGGCGGGGUAACGGCCAACCAAGGCGACGAUCAGUAGCCGGUCUGGGAGGAUGAACGGCCAAAUGGGGACUGAGAUACGGCCCAGACUCCUACGGGAGGCAGCAGUGGGGAAUAUUGGGCAAUGGGGGAAACCCUGACCCAGCAACGCCGCGUGAAGGAAGAAGGCCUUCGGGUUGUAAACUUCUUUUAGCAGGGACGAAGGACGUGACGGUACCUGCAGAAAAAGCAACGGCUAACUACGUGCCAGCCGCCGCUGUAACAC
rnacentral:rRNA from 1 species